rnacentral:rRNA from 1 species
GAUCCUGGCUCAGGAUGGACGCCAGCUACAGGCUUAACACAUGCAAGUCGAGGGGCAGCAUGGUCUUAGCUUGCUAAGGCCGAUGGCGACCGGCGCACGGGUGAGUAACGCGUAUCCAACCUGCCUUACACUCUUGGACAGCCUUCUGAAAGGGAGAUUAAUACAAGAUGUUAUCAUGAGUAAGCAUUUUCGCAUGAUUAAAGGUUUACCGGUGUAAGAUGGGGAUGCGUUCCA